UACGUAGGCAGCAAGCGUUGUUCGGAGUUACUGGGCGUAAAGGGUGCGUAGGCGGUCCUAUAAGUAUGGUGUGAAGUCCCCCGGCUUAACUGGGAGGGUGCGCUAUAGACUGUGGGACUAGAGUGUGGGAGAGGAAAGUGGAAUUCCUGGUGUAGCGGUGAAAUGCGUAGAUAUCAGGAGGAACACCGGUGGUGUAAACGGCUUUCUGGACCAUAACUGACGCUGAGGCACGAAAGCGUGGGUAGCAAACAGG
rnacentral:rRNA from 1 species